UCUCGGUUUCGAUUGAGCUGGCAAUCUUUUGAUCAAAUCAGACGAUCCGAUAGAGCAAUCAGAUAUCUUUGAGACUUUGAGCUUCAGAUACAUCAGGAGAAGUCCAUCGCAAUAUCACAGAUUGGAAGGUUUGUAGACAUGGUUCCUCACUCAAGUUUUUUUUUUUUCUUACCCAUUAUUCCUUCUUUUCGUCUUUCUAAUUCUGACGCUUUAUGUAAGCUUUACAGGUGCAUGCAUGUGAAGGUAUGUGGGUUUAUCUAGCUGUGUUUGGUUUGGCAUUUGAAUUUGGUUUUGUAGGUGAUUUAGCAUUUUUUUUAAUCUGGGUUUUGUGUGGGUUUGCAUUAGAGCUGUGUUAUGUGGAAUUAGAUAUGGGAAGUAGUUAGAUUUAGCAAAUCGUGUUAUGCAUCUGUUAGUAUAUAUCAUUUUUUGCUUUGUUGUUAUUUCUGCGAGCAAUUUUUCAUUUGGUGUCUUUAUGAACACUUCUUUUUUCUUCUUUUUUUCAUUCCAGGUGUAGCAUCUCUCUUAUUCAUACUGUAUUGGAUUAUUGUAUGGAGUUGAUUCUGUCUUAUUUCGAUGAGGUCAGGUGAAGAAGGUAGGUAACUCAGAGAAAAAGAAGAGGGGGACGGGAACAAUCGGUGUGGGUGGCCGUGAUACUUAAUUUCAGAGCCAAUUUGGACUCUGGAGCCUCGAAUAUCAUAUGGGUUUUAUCUGUUUCAGGUGUAUCAAUACGUAAUGGAAGAGAAAUCCUUUUAAAGGACGAUUGGAGAAGGUUAGAGGAGCCUUAUGGAAGUAUAUUCAUAAGUAUUCCAACUGUUCUUGAUUCAUCGUUGGCUCCAGAAGGGCAACGUAUUCUUCAUAUUUACGACCUCUUCCAUUGAAGACUGGGAGGGACUUCUCUCGAAAGGACUAUGAAUCAAAGAAGGAGCUUAUGGCAGAUGUCAUCAUUAGCAGAUUAGAGAAGAUACUAUUUCAAGGGCUUAAGUCAUCCAUCGUUUUUAAGGAGGUAAUGCUUACAGUAUUGAUUCCAAUCAUUGUGAGCUAUGGGUGUUGAUUCGUAUUGAAUAAAGGGUUGGUUGAAACUUGAACUUAUUGUGGUUUAAGUAAACUUACAAUUCCUGUAUCCAACUUCCUUUUGGCACAUUGCAGUAUUAAACAUGUCCAUUGCUCUGGCUAUUGCUAUUUGGGAUAUAAAAAAAAUUUAUAUCCUUUUUUCAUUAUGAAACUUGCCUCCUUUAUAAUUUCUGACUUUUACUGUCUCUUUCAUAAUUUCUUACUUUCA